rnacentral:tRNA from 1 species
GGCCAUAUAGUCUAAUAAGGAUAUUAAAUUGCAAAUUUAAGGGUAAUUUUCUUUUAUGGUCU